GACGAACGCUGGCGGCGUGCUUAACACAUGCAAGUCGAACGAUGAACUUGGAGCUUGCUCUGGGGGAUUAGUGGCGAACGGGUGAGUAACACGUGAGUAACCUGCCCUGGACUCUGGGAUAACUUCGAGAAAUCGGAGCUAAUACCGGAUAGGACCUUGCACCGCAUGGUGUGGGGUGGAAAGUUUUCCGGUUUGGGAUGGACUCGCGGCCUAUCAGCUUGUUGGUGAGGUAAUGGCUCACCAAGGCGUCGACGGGUAGCCGGCCUGAGAGGGUGACCGGCCACACUAGGACUGAGACACGGCCCAGACUCCUACGGGAGGCAGCAGUGGGGAAUAUUGCACAAUGGGCGCAAGCCUGAUGCAGCAACGCCGCGUGCGGGAUGACGGCCUUCGGGUUGUAAACCGCUUUUAGUAGGGAAGAAGCCUUCGGGUGACGGUACCUGCAGAAAAAGGACCGGCUAACUACGUGCCAGCAGCCGCCGUAAAAC
rnacentral:rRNA from 1 species